GCCUGAAUUAAAGGAAUGUCUCAUGCCUCAGGCCACUUCCGGAGUAAAAAGCAUGUAGAAAGAUUUGGGCUCAGGCUGUUGGGUCAGGAGACAACACCAAGGGAAAGGAAACGCCCCCUUCUAACUGUGACAUCACAAUGGUGGCCACAAAUGUGGGGGCUCUGAAACUCCCACAAGUCUUCCUUCCCGGAGUCCCGAGAACCUCGGGGAAGCUCUUAGAACCGUAGGGAAAAUGAGAAGAGGACACAAGAAAAACCAUGAUUCUCAACGCUGCCUUUGCAAUAGAAUCAUCUGGAAAAAUCUCAACAAAUGCUGAUGCUUGGGUUCUGCUCCCCGGGAGUCUAUUCUACUUGUCUAUGAUGGCGUCCAGACAUUUAUGUGGUUUUAAAAUCUACCUAGGAGGUCAGCAGAAAACUGUUGCACACGGUCGCCCAGGGACCCAGGCUGAGGGCGCCGCAGGAUCUAGAGGUAUCCUUGCUCACCGCAGGAGGAGAGAACGCUAGAGUGUCAGAUACUGGCUGUGGAUUCUUGUAACACGUAAGUGCGACACUUUUCACAAUGUGAAAUCGCUGACUUACAGUCCACUGCCAGGCUUAAUCACAUGACCUGCUGGACCAGAUGGAGGGUUGAAAUGUAGACGUACACUGUCUCUGGCAAGCAUUCAAGUUCCUAUCAUCCAAUAAAAUAUGCCAAAGGAGGCAGGUUUCUCACAGGCACUGCUGAGUUACAAACAUCCUGUUUGUGGACACCCAGGUGAGGGUGAGCCAAGCCUGACUUGGCCCUGAAAAGAUGAGCUGGGUCAAGGAGGUCUGAGUCUUCCUGACAGCCCGGUACCUCAGGGAAGAGCAGUGGUGGGAUUGCUCCCUCCUAUUCACUGCCCCAGACAGACCAGAGUUUCCUCUAGACUUCUCUCAAGCACCAAACUGUACCUGUUAAAUGCUGGAUGGAUAAGUCCUUCAAAAUCAUUUAAUCCAAUCCUCCCUAAGGUGGAGGUAGCCCAGGGCUACCUCAAAGAGAAGUAAUUUACCAAAUGCCAUAAGUUAGUUACUUAGAUAAGAAUAGAGUCCUGUUUCCUCUCUCCCAGUACUAUUCUUACUACCUCCCCAAGAACGUGAUAAAUUACAUACAAAAUUUCCAGUCUUCAGAGAAAAAAUAAUUGACACAAACCUCAAAAAUUCAACCCAAGUACACAAAAAGAAAACAACAUAAAUAAAAAAUAGACAAUAUAAAACAUGAAGUAAAGCAUCAGAAACAAGCCUAAAAAUAUUCAACAUUACAAUAAAUGUGAAUGGGUAAAAUUCUUCUAUUAAAAGUCCAAGACUUUUGCUACCCAUGAUUCAGCCCAGAAAUGAAAUGACACAGAAUGGUUAAAAAUAAAAAGAAUGACAAGAGAAGCUAAUCAAAUGGUAAUAGACUUGCUGUGGUAAUAUUGAUAUCAGAGAAAAUAAAAAUUUUUAAUUAAAACUUUAAAUAUGACAAUCAAAUUAGGAGCCUUGGUUGCUUUUCUAGUCAAAAAAAUUGCAGUCCUAAGAAAUCAAAGCUUAGGUUGUAUAAGGGUCACCAAUAUUUGAAAGAUGAUGUGAAAUAUCUGAGAGAUGUGUGUGGGUUUGGGUGUGCGUGUGUGUAUAAAUGUGUGCAUGUCCUGUGUGACCCAACUGCUUCUGGGCUCUAUAAAUCUAUCUCACUUCCUUUUAAAAAUACUUAGUCACAGUACUACACUGAGCUUAACUCUCUGUCCUCCAAGAGCUGACCAGCUCAUGGGUAUCUCUACAGAACAGCACCAUCCCAACAGCGUGCAGAAUUCUUCCAGUGAGGAAGCCAAUAUACACUCACACAAAACCUCGGAGAAAGGGGAAUAACAAUUUCUCUGUGCUGUGUGAGACUAACUCGGAGGAUCAAUGCCUGAUCCUCACAGCACAACCAUGGUUGCAAAGCACACUGGGGAAACUCCAGAACUCCCAACUACUUUUUCAAGGGGCAGCCAGCUCCCUAGACACAGGGCUGGGCCUGGUGUGACCCCAGCUGCUGAGAAUUCCCUCACAGCCCCUGCCUUGCUAGGUGUUUCCAAAGCACAUAUCCCAAGGCCCACACUAGGACCGUCCACUUCCCAUUUUGAGGAGUGAGUGCCGCACAUAUGAGUUUGUUAAGCACUUCUACUGAAGGAAAGAAACAGAAACAGCCUCCUAACAUGGCCCAAGCAGUCCUCCCUUGUCUGCACUUCUAUAGCAGGGCACACGGCACAGGGCAGCAGAGGGCCUUGGCAGCAUGUCGGCGAACAACACAGCCUCAUAAUCUCUGCUCCCAUCCAUCACAACUCCAUGCCAAAGCGUUAAUGGGGGCAUGCUAGACACUGGGUAUGUAUGGCCUGGGCCACUAGC